rnacentral:rRNA from 1 species
GUGGGGAAUCUUGCGCAAUGGGCGAAAGCCUGACGCAGCCAUGCCGCGUGAAUGAUGAAGGUCUUAGGAUUGUAAAAUUCUUUCACCGGGGACGAUAAUGACGGUACCCGGAGAAGAAGCUCCGGCUAACUUCGUGCCAGCAGCCGCGGUAAUACGAAGGGGGCUAGCGUUGCUCGGAAUUACUGGGCGUAAAGGGCGCGUAGGCGGACAGCUUAGUCAGAGGUGAAAGCCCAGGGCUCAACCUUGGAAUUGCCUUUGAUACUGGCUGUCUUGAGUGUGGGAGAGGUGAGUGGAACUCCGAGUGUAGAGGUGAAAUUCGUAGAUAUUCGGAAGAACACCAGUGGCGAAGGCGACUCACUGGCCCAAUACUGACGCUGAGGCGCGAAAGCGUGGGGAGCAAACAGGAUUAGAAACCCGGGUAGUCC